GUGCUCACUUAAGCAGCACAUAUACUAAAAUUGGAAUGAUACAAAGAAAAUUAGCAUGGCCCCUGUGCAAGGAUAAUAGUGUCUUAAUAUACACUCCAAUUAGAA
rfam:Cavia porcellus supercont2_17 genomic scaffold, whole genome shotgun sequence.